rnacentral:lncRNA from 1 species
AGAAAUUCAAGCAAGUAACCGGUUAACGCUCGGUGGGUAACCGGUUAACGCAAAACAGAAUGCAGAAAUUCAAGCAAGUAACCGGUUAAUGCUCGGUGGAUAGCCGAUUAACGCAAAACAGAAUGCAGAAUUUUCUGCGUUUUUCAUCAUUGGAGGACUUUCGGACCUCCGAUUUCGAUUCCGUAAAAAGCCAAACGUUCAUAAAAUUAUAACUCAUACAAUACUCUAGUAUAUAACAUUAAUUUGCAGUUUUAACACAAUUAAAUCA